AACUGGCUGUUAAAAAAAUAGCAGCCUCCGAUGGUAACGUCGGAGUGUCAACGGAGUGAAUUGUCCCGAGACAAACUCGGGAUCUACUGUAUUUAUAUGGUGGACAGGGAGCCUGUUUCGUUUUGCGAAUGGUAACCUGCAGCCAAGUCUUGCUUGCGUGCUCCUAUCUAUGAUAGGUUGCCGCACCUUGUAAGAAAGGUUCAGAGACUAUCCCCUUGUGGGAGUAGGGCCGGGUAUUUAUAUGCGACUCGAAGCGCUCCGCACCCCAGCGCUCUUCACUUUAUGUGAGGUACUGGCGCGGGUGAUGAAAUAGUCCAGUCUUUCUCGAAAGAGGAAG
rnacentral:ncRNA from 1 species